GGUUCAAAGGUGAAGUAGGAAGCAAUAAAUGGACAGGAACUAACAUGUUUUAUGGAGCUUUUAGUUGGAAGGUUCAAUCCUAUAGGCACAUCUGGACCACCUGUGUGCAGAACAAACAGCCAGCUUUCUGAAGGAAAGGUUCGUAGAGGAGAUGGAAUUUCACGAUUUCUUUCUGUGAAAGACAGAGCAAGGUUUGGUUCUGACAGAAACUCUGGGGUCUUCUUUCUUCUGAUAUUGUGGAGAGCAGACUCAUCUACGCUCAGGCUUUCUAGUGUCUACACAUUGGCAUUAAGUUGAAAAUGAGUAAGUAGUAGUGCAGUUGGAAAACACAGAGUCACGGCUAAAACCGAGACUGCCGUGCUGUUUCUUUCUUCUGCAGUUGCCUUCCACACAGCUGCAGGACACAGAUAUAUGCCUUUCCAACUGUUCGACCUCUUGUCUCCUGGACUAAACUCAACUGGAGGAAAGUCAGCCGAGAGCCUAAAAGUCUGCUGAGGUUUUAAUGACUUCCUCCAGCAUCUCCACUUACUGUUCGAUGCUGACAUCAGCUGGACCACAGAAGAAUGGAUGACGAAUGCACCGAGGAACACUUGCGGUCAAGUGACUGUCAACCCUCUGAAAAGUGGAAAAUCACUGAGGACUCCUGAAAUAAUACAAUGUCCAGUCUGGAGUGUGGAGAUAGCGGUGUGACAGCAGAUACAGCCCGGAGAUUGUGAUUUCGCUCUGCUAGGGGAAAAAGAGGGGCACCACUAUUUUCUAACAGACAUAUACUUUAUCGAUGAGAAAAUUUAGAUGUAUCUUUAGAAUUAUUUUUCCCUCUGCUUUACCUUGAUUUAAUAUUUUUUAUUAUUAAAUCACUUUUCUAGGCAUGUGCUGUAUCAAUGUGCUAAAGCCCUAAUUUGGAUUUAUUGGUUGUUAUGAGUUACAAAUAUAAUGCAUAGUUGAUGCUGAUAAGAGAAAAAAAUAAGUGAAUAAGCAAGUAAUACAUUUUCACCAUCAUUUAAGUUAACCAAUCAUUUUAGCUUGAUGUAAAUCAUUUUAUAUGUUUUAAUUCUUGUGUUUUAUUGUACUUGUUUUCUAGGCAUGGAACUUGUGUUAUAGCCACUACUGCCACAAGAGAAAGAAAAAUAAAACCAAAAGAAUUUGUGUUUUCAGAGCUGAAACCAGAAUUCAGCAUACUAGCCACAUUAGCAGUGCUUAGUCUCCAAUUUCCAAACUUUAGUAGCUUCUCAUAUUUAAUUUCACUACUUGAUACACAUUCAAUGUAGAUAAAUGGGACAUUUGCUUCAUUUACUCUUACUGGGAAAUUAACCAGGAACAAUUUUGAAUGUAGCAGACUUCAUUACAUCAGUAAUUUCUCAUGAUUCCUGUGAAUCAGCUGAUGUGUCUCUUUCUGAGCAGCAUGGUGUUCUGUAUGGCUGGGGCUCAGCCUCUAACUGAUCUUUGCUCUUAACUGAACUAAUAAAGACCGAAGGUAUUAGUUUGCUUUCCCAUGAACUAUGUCAGUGGCUGUAAUUAGUGCUGUGUUUUCUUUCUUCAUUUAAUAUUAUUUCACUGAGGUUCAGUCAAAGUAAGGGAGACACACUUAGACUGAUAUAAAGGGCCUAGACAUUUCUAUGUGCAAAUUGGCGAACUACACUUUUAAUAUCAUCGUUUUCUGUGUUUGGCCUAGAUUUUAAAGACAGAUGUAUCAAUAAUUGCUGUGGGACAAUGGUUUUACCCUGUAAACAUUUGUUUCUUGUACUUGUUUAAUAAAAUGCUGAUUGACCAGU